ACGGAAGGCAGCAGCUAAGAAUAUUCCGCAAUGGACGAAAGUCUGACGGAGCGACGCCGCGUGGAUGAUGAAGGCCGGAAGGUUGUAAAAUCCUUUUAUAACUGAGGAAUAAGCAGUGUGAGAGAAACGCCUUAUGGUGACUGUAGGUCAUGAAUAAGCAACGGCUAAUUACGUGCCAGCAGCCGCGGUAACACGUAAGUUGCGAGCGUUGUUCGGAAUUAUUGGGCGUAAAGGGCAUGUAGGCGGUUUUGCAAGCUUGGUGUGAAAUCUCGGAGCUCAACUCCGAAAUUGCGUUGAGAACUGCAUAACUAGAGUCACUGAGGGGCAAUCAGAAUUCCAGGUGUAGGGGUGAAAUCUGUAGAUAUCUGGAAGAAUACCAAUGGCGAAGGCAGGUUACCAGCAGAUGACUGACGCUGAGGUGCGAAGGUGCGGGGAGCAAACAGGAUUAGAUACCCUGGUA
rnacentral:rRNA from 1 species